rnacentral:rRNA from 1 species
AUACAGAGGGUGCGAGCGUUAAUCGGAUUUACUGGGCGUAAAGCGCGCGUAGGUGGCUAAUUAAGUCAAAUGUGAAAUCCCCGAGCUUAACUUGGGAAUUGCAUUCGAUACUGGUUGGCUAGAGUAUGGGAGAGGAUGGUAGAAUUCAAGGUGUAGCGGUGAAAUGCGUAGAGAUCUGGAGGAAUACCGAUGGCGAAGGCAGCCAUCUGGCCUAAUACUGACACUGAGGUGCGAAAGCAUGGGGAGCAAACAGGAUUAGAUACCCUGGUAGUCCAUGCCGUAAACGAUGUCUACUAGCCGUUGGGGGAUUUGAUCCUUUAGUGGCGCAGCUAACGCGAUAAGUAGACCGCCUGGGGAGUACGGUCGCAAGACUAAAACUCAAAUGAAUUGACGGGG